GAUGAACGCUGGCGGCGUGCCUAAUACAUGCAAGUCGAGCGAACAGACGAGGAGCUUGCUCCUCUGACGUUAGCGGCGGACGGGUGAGUAACACGUGGAUAACCUACCUAUAAGACUGGGAUAACUUCGGGAAACCGGAGCUAAUACCGGAUAAUAUAUUGAACCGCAUGGUUCAAUAGUGAAAGACGGUUUUGCUGUCACUUAUAGAUGGAUCCGCGCCGCAUUAGCUAGUUGGUAAGGUAACGGCUUACCAAGGCAACGAUGCGUAGCCGACCUGAGAGGGGGGUCGGGCACAACGGAACUGAGACACCGGCCAGGAUCCCUAGGGAAGGCGGAAGUGGGAAAUUUUCGGAAUGGGGGGAAAGCCUACCGGAGCAACGCGGGGUGGUGAAUGAGGGCCUUCGAUUGGUAAAACCCUGUAAUAGGGAAGAACAAAUGUGUAAGUAACUAUGCACGUCUUGACGGUACCUAAUCAGAAAGCCACGGCUAACUACGUG
rnacentral:rRNA from 1 species